GACGGAGGAUGCAAGCGUUAUCCGGAAUGAUUGGGCGUAAAGCGUCCGCAGGUGGCAGUUCAAGUCUGCUGUCAAAGACCGGGGCUUAACUUCGGAAAGGCAGUGGAAACUGAACAGCUAGAGUAUGGUAGGGGCAGAGGGAAUUCCUGGUGUAGCGGUGAAAUGCGUAGAGAUCAGGAAGAACAUCGGUGGCGAAGGCGCUCUGCUGGACCAUAACUGACACCGAGGAACGAAAGCCAGGGGAGCAAAUGGG
rnacentral:rRNA from 1 species